rnacentral:precursor_RNA from 1 species
AGGGGAAAGGAUGGGUCUCGGAGCUCGAGCCUGGGCCUGUCAUUUCCUCACU